UAAUACGUAGGCAGCUAGCGUUGUUCGGAAUUACUGGGCGUAAAGCGAGUGUAGGCGGUUUGCCAAGUCCGUUGUGAAAUCUCCCGGCUCAACUGGGAGGGUGCGGCGGAAACUGGCAGGCUAGAGUACGGAAUGGGAGAGUGGAAUUCCUGGUGUAGCGGUGAAAUGCGUAGAUAUCAGGAGGAACACCGGUGGUGAAGACGGCUCUCUGGACCGUUACUGACGCUGAGACUCGAAAGCGUGGGGAGCAAACAGGAUUAGAUACCCUGGUAGUCCACGCCCUAAACGAUGCAUACUUGGUGUGGGCUCUUCACUGAGUCCGUGCCGGAGCUAACGCGUUAAGUAUGCCGCCUGGGGAGUACGGUCGCAAGGCUG
rnacentral:rRNA from 1 species